AGAUGGACACUGGGAUGGACAUUCCCCAAUCCUCCCUGGGGACACCCCAGUGUCACAAUUCCAGGACAUUUUUGGUGGCCCUAAGGGAACCUCAAUCCAUGAUCCCACCUGGGCUCAAAGCCACCAGCCCAGGGAUUCCCAAAUUUCCUUCUCUCUUUUGGAAAUCCACCUCAAGGAUUCCAAAAUUUCCUCUUUUUUGGAAAUCCACUUCAGGAACGCCCAAAUUUCCUCCUCUUUUUUGGAAAUCCAGCCCAGGGAUGUCCAAAUUUCCUCCUCUUUUUUUGGAAAUCCACCUCAAGGACUCCCAAAUUUCCUCUUUUUUGGAAAUCCACCUCAGGGAUUCCCAAAUUUCCGCCUCUCUUUUGGAAAUCCAGCCCAGGGACACCCAAAUUUCCUCCUCUCUUUGUGGAAAACCACCUCAAGGAUGCCCGAAUUCCCUCUUUUUUUUGAAAUCCACUUCAGGAACGCUCAAAUUUCCUCCUCUUUUUUGGAAAUCCAGCCCAGGGACACCCAAAUUUUCUCCUCUCUUUUGGAAAUCUACCUCAAGGAUCCCCAAAUUUCCUUCUCUUUUUUGGAAAUCCAUGUCAGAGACUCCUGUAUUUUCUCCUCUCUUUUGGAAAUCCAGCCCAAGGAAGCCCAAAUUUCCUCUUUUUUUUGAAAUCCACCUCUGGAACUCCCAAAUUUCCUCCCCUUCUUUGCAAAUCCACCUCUGGAACUCCCAAAUUUCCUCCCCUUCUUUGCAAAUCCACUUCUGGAAAUCCCAAAUUUCCUCCCCUUUUUUGCAAAUCCACUUCUGGAACUCCCAAAUUUCCUCCCCUUUUUUGUAAAUCCACUUCUGGAAAUCCCAAAUUUCCUCCCCUUUUUUGUAAAUCCACUUCUGGAAAUCCCAAAUUUCCUCCCCUUUUUUGCAAAUCCACUUCUGGAACUCCCAAAUUUCCUCCCCUUUUUUACAAAUCCACUUCUGGAACUCCCAAAUUUCCUCCCCUUUUUUACAAACCCACUUCUGGAACUCCCAAAUUUCCUCCCCUUUUUUGCAAACCCACCUCAGGAACUCCCAAAUUUCCUCCCCUUUUUUACAAAUCCACCUCAGGAACUCCCAAAUUUCCUCCCCUUUUUUACAAAUCCACUUCUGG
rnacentral:lncRNA from 1 species